rnacentral:rRNA from 1 species
UGCAGAUCAAAUACCACCCUGAAUGCGCCUGAUCUUGUCUGAUCUCGGAAGCUAAGCAGGGUCGGGCCUGGUUAGUACUUGGAUGGGAGAACUCCCAUUAUCAGCAGCUGUGAUUCAGCGC